rnacentral:lncRNA from 1 species
GAGAGAGAAAAAAAAACCUACACCCAGACACUGUAGGAUUUGACCAGCUAAAGGUAUGUUCAGAUCUGAUGCCCCCUAGGAUCAGGCCCAAGCAGCCUGAGGUGUGUUUAGUAGCCAGUGUUAAGAUGUCAUUAUGUAACUCCCCUAGAACUCUGUUAGAACAAGGUAAGUUUGCCUCUAGAAGAGCAGGAAAGCAUUUCACCCAAGUGUAGACCUGGAGACUACUUUCCCUAGUAUGUCAAUAGAUCAGCUCUGGAUUAUUCUGACACUGGUGAUCCUAUUGGAAUAUUUUCAUGUAACCUGUCUGCUGCAGACGGAUCUUUCACAAUGUGUUUUUGGAAGAAAGGACACUGGCCCAAGGGUCAGCAGUGUGGGCAUCUCAUCCUGGCUCCAGAAUUGCCACCGACAGUGGGCAGUUUUUUGUGUAUGAUGGUAAAAGUUUCUUCAUCUGUAUAAAAUGGAAAGUUUGAAUUUUUUCUCCCAAGAAUUUUGCCAGCUACUAUUUUAAUGGUGAAAGUUAUAGAAAAUUGUUCUGAAAGUGACAAACUUGAGGCCAAUUCAUUUGGGGAUGUUCUGGAAGGAAAGAAUGGGAAUUAUAAGAAAAUGUAUAGAUUUAGUUAUUGAGACCUACCUAAGUUAUUAUGGCCAUGAAGGGGUCAUAGUUAUGCUUAUAAAUUGGAAGGAUUCUUUAUUAAAAGUGAGAAAGAAAAUCUCUUGAAUUGUCAUGGGGUCAAAAUUCUGUCAAGGAGUUUCCUUAUUCUGUUCUUUUCUUGGGAACUGCAAAGUCACCUGCGGUACUUAUGGAAUAUAUUUCCUUUGUUGAUGUAGUGGCUCAUCAAAUUCUCAAACAAAUGGUUUCUUGUCAACCAGGAGUAAGAGAGCUUGUCCCUGUUGGAAAUCCCAUGGUGAAUGAGCAGAGGAGGGGGCGGCUUGUGUGGAGUAUGUGUAUUUAUCUGUAUUCUUUUCCAUAGGUACCAUUAAAUUUGUCUGGCUUAAUUUAAUGGGAACUUCUGGGACCUGCAGAGACUGUAAAGGGCGAGGGUAAGGUUCUUGUCAUCUCUUCAGGCUCCUCUCCUUCCAAUGGAACUUCCUCAUUCUCUCCCUCUCCCUUCAGCCUCUUCCCUUCCAACUUGUGUGUAUGUUUUACCGCCUUCUCUCAAUUUAUUCUUCCCUUUGUGUUUUUUCU